AUUGAACGCUGGCGGCAUGCCUUACACAUGCAAGUCGAACGGUAACAGGUCUUCGGAUGCUGACGAGUGGCGAACGGGAGAGUAAUACAUCGGAACGUGCCCGAUCGUGGGGGAUAACGAAGCGAAAGCUUUGCUAAUACCGCACACGAGAUACGGAUGCAACCAGGGGACCGCAAGGCCUUGAGCGACCGGACCGCCCGAUGGCAGAUUAGUUAGUUGGUGGGAUAAAAGCUUACCAAGCCGACGAUCUGUAGCUGGUCUGAGAGGAAGACCAGCCACACUGGGACUGAGACACGGCCCAGACUCCUACGGGAGGCAGCAGUGGGGAAUUUUGGACAAUGGGCGAAAGCCUGAUCCAGCCAUGCCGCGUGCAGGAUGAAGGCCUUCAGGUUGUAAACUGCUUUUGUACGGAACGAAAAGACUCUUUCUAAUAAAGAGGGUCCAUGACGGUACCGUAAGAAUAAGCACCGGCUAACUACGUGCCAGCCGCCGCAGUAACAC
rnacentral:rRNA from 1 species